rnacentral:misc_RNA from 1 species
GAUGAAGAACGUAGCGAAAUGCGAUACGUAAUGUGAAUUGCAGAAUUCAGUGAAUCAUCGAGUCUUUGAACGCACAUUGCGCCCGCCAGUAUUCUGGCGGGCAUGCCUGUUCGAGCGUCAUUUCAACCAUCAAGCCCCCGGCUUGUGUUGGGGACCUGCGGCUGCCGCAGGCCCUGAAAUGCAGUGGCGGGCUCGCUGUCACUCCGAGCGUAGUAGUUACAUCUCGCUCUGGGCGUGCUGCGGGUUCCGGCCGUUAAAAGCCUUAUUUACCCAAGGUUGACCUCGGAUCAGGUAGGAAGACCCGCUGAACUUAAGCAUAUCAUAAGCGGAGGA